rnacentral:rRNA from 2 species
UGGGGAAUCUUGCGCAAUGGGCGAAAGCCUGACGCAGCGACGCCGCGUGGGGGAAGAAGGCCUUCGGGUUGUAAACCUCUUUCAGCAGGGACGAAGCCACUCGGGUUAAUAGCCCAGAGGGUGACGGUACCUGCAGAAGAAGCCCCGGCUAACUACGUGCCAGCAGCCGCGGUAAUACGUAGGGGGCAAGCGUUGUCCGGAUUUAUUGGGCGUAAAGAGCGUGUAGGCGGCCGCACAGGUCCGUUGUGAAAACUGGAGGCUUAACCUUCAGACGUCGAUGGAAACCGUGCGGCUAGAGUCCGGAAGAGGAGAAUGGAAUUCCUGGUGUAGCGGUGAAAUGCGCAGAUAUCAGGAAGAACACCCGUGGCUAAGGCGGUUCUCUAGUACGGUACUGACGCUGAGACGCGAAAGCGUGGGGAGCGAACAGG